AUAAGAUUGAAAUGCUUGAGUACAGACAAAAUCGAUUGCAAAUGGAUCCUCUAAACUGCAAUGAGGUUUCCCCUUCAAGUGAAAAUUUGGAUUCUUUGGAGUUCUGCAGGGUACUUUGUAGAGGAGUGUUUGAUGAGAAGAAGUCCAUUUUCAUAGGGCCACGCUCCAGAAGCAUUUCAGGGGUGACUGAAAAUGGUUACUAUGUUAUUACUCCUCUCAUGCCUUUGGCAAAUGAUCCUAAGAGCGUGCAGACACCAAUUCUUGUCAAUAGGGGAUGGGUCCCCCGGAAUUGGAGAGACAAGUCUUUGGAAGUGGCUGCGGCUGAUGACCAAUCUUUGAG
rnacentral:misc_RNA from 1 species